rnacentral:rRNA from 1 species
UACGGGGGGGGCAAGCGUUGUUCGGAAUUACUGGGCGUAAAGGGCCAGUAGGCGGCCAACUAAGGCGAACGUGAAAUCCCCGGGCUCAACCCGGGAACUGCGUCCGAUACUGGAAGGCUUGAAUCCGGGAGAGGGAUGCGGAAUUCCAGGUGUAGCGGUGAAAUGCGUAGAUAUCUGGAGGAACACCGGUGGCGAAGGCGGCAUCCUGGACCGGCAUUGACGCUGAGGCGCGAAAGCCAGGGGAGCAAACGGG